rnacentral:rRNA from 1 species
GGAAUCUUGCACAAUGGGGGAAACCCUGAUGCAGCGACGCCGCGUGAGCGAUGAAGCCCUUCGGGGUGUAAAGCUCUUUCGACCCGGAAGAUAAUGACGGUACGGGGAGAAGAAGCUGCGGCUAACUACGUGCCAGCAGCCGCGGUAAUACGUAGGCAGCGAGCGUUGUUCGGAGUUACUGGGCGUAAAGCGUGCGUAGGCGGUGGCCCAAGUCUGGUGUGAAAUCUCCCGGCUUAACUGGGAGGGUGCGCCGGAAACUGGGUCGCUAGAGUACUGGAGAGGCAGGCGGAAUUCCUGGUGUAGCGGUGAAAUGCGUAGAUAUCAGGAGGAACACCCGCGGUGUAGACGGCCUGCUGGACAGUCACUGACGCUGAGGCACGAAAGCGUGGGGAGCAAA